rnacentral:rRNA from 1 species
UACGAACUGUGCAAACGUUAUUCGGAAUCACUGGGCUUAAAGGGUGCGCGGGCGGUCUGCUAAGCAGGGUGUGAAAGCCCCCGGCUCAACCGGGGAAUUGCGCCCUGAACUGGCAGGCUUGAGUGAGAUAGAGGUGUGGGGAACUUCCGGUGGAGCGGUGAAAUGUGUUGAUAUCGGAAGGAACGCCAGAGGCGAAAGCGCCACACUGGGUCUCAACUGACGCUGAGGCACGAAAGCCAGGGGAGCAAACGGG